rnacentral:rRNA from 1 species
GACGAACGCUGGCGGCGUGCUUAACACAUGCAAGUCGAACGGAAAGGCCCUGCUUUUGUGGGGUGCUCGAGUGGCGAACGGGUGAGUAACACGUGAGUAACCUGCCCUUGACUUUGGGAUAACUUCAGGAAACUGGGGCUAAUACCGGAUAGGAGCUCCUGCUGCAUGGUGGGGGUUGGAAAGUUUCGGCGGUUGGGGAUGGACUCGCGGCUUAUCAGCUUGUUGGUUGGGUAGUGGCUUACCAAGGCUUUGACGGGUAGCCGGCCUGAGAGGGUGACCGGCCACAUUGGGACUGAGAUACGGCGCAGACUCCUACGGGAGGCAGCAGUGGGGAAUAUUGCACAAUGGGCGGAAGCCUGAUGCAGCAACGCCGCGUGCGGGAUGACGGCCUUCGGGUUGUAAACCGCUUUCGCCUGUGACGAAGCGUGAGUGACGGUAAUGGGUAAAGAAGCACCGGCUAACUACGUG